rnacentral:rRNA from 1 species
ACCUACGGGGCGCAGCAGUGGGGAAUAUUGGACAAUGGGCGCAAGCCUGAUCCAGCCAUGCCGCGUGCAGGAUGACGGUCCUAUGGAUUGUAAACUGCUUUGUACAGGAAGAAACACUGGUUCGUGAACCAGCUUGACGGUACUGUAAGAAUAAGGAUCGGCUAACUCCGUGCCAGCAGCCGCGGUAAUACGGAGGAUCCAAGCGUUAUCCGGAAUCAUUGGGUUAAAGGGUCCGUAGGCGGUCAGAUAAGUCAGUGGUGAAAGCCCAUCGCUCAACGGUGGAACGGCCAUUGAUACUGUCUGACUUGAAUUAUUAGGAAGUAACUAGAAUAUGUAGUGUAGCGGUGAAAUGCUUAGAGAUUACAUGGAAUACCAAUUGCGAAGGCAGGUUACUACUAAUGGAUUGACGCUGAUGGACGAAAGCGUGGGUAGCGAACAGGAUUAGAUACCCGAGUAGUCG